AUUUUAACUGUGCAAAGGUAGCAUAAUCAUUAGUUUUUUAAUUGAAAGCUUGUAUGAAUGGUUGGACGAGGUACAAGCUGUUUCACAUUAAAUAUUAAAAUUUUAUUUUUUGGUAAAAAAGCCUAAAUUUUUUUGAAAGACGAGAAGACCCUAUAGAUUUUUAUAGUUUUUGUUAUUAUUUAUUAUUAGGAUUAAGAUAUGGUAGGUAUAAUUUUUACUAUUUUGUUGGGGUGACAUAGAAAUUUGUUUAACUUUCUGUUAAUUUUUACACUUAUUUGUGAUUUUGUGAUCCUUUAUUUAAGAUUAAAAGAUUAAGUUACCUUAGGGAUAACAGCGUAAUUUUUUCAGAGAGUUCAUAUCGAUGNNNNGGAUUGCGACCUCGAUGUUGGAUUAA
rnacentral:rRNA from 1 species